ACGGGUGAGUAACACGUGGAUAACCUACCUAUAAGACUGGGAUAACUUCGGGAAACCGGAGCUAAUACCGGAUAAUAUUUUGAACCGCAUGGUUCAAAAGUGAAAGACGGUCUUGCUGUCACUUAUAGAUGGAUCCGCGCUGCAUUAGCUAGUUGGUAAGGUAACGGCUUACCAAGGCAACGAUGCAUAGCCGACCUGAGAGGGUGAUCGGCCACACUGGAACUGAGACACGGUCCAGACUCCUACGGGAGGCAGCAGUAGGGAAUCUUCCGCAAUGGGCGAAAGCCUGACGGAGCAACGCCGCGUGAGUGAUGAAGGUCUUCGGAUCGUAAAACUCUGUUAUUAGGGAAGAACAUAUGUGUAAGUAACUGUGCACAUCUUGACGGUACCUAAUCAGAAAGCCACGGCUAACUACGUGCCAGCAGCCGCGGUAAUACGUAGGUGGCAAGCGUUAUCCGGAAUUAUUGGGCGUAAAGCGCGCGUAGGCGGUUUUUUAAGUCUGAUGUGAAAGCCCACGGCUCAACCGUGGAGGGUCAUUGGAAACUGGAAAACUUGAGUGCAGAAGAGGAAAGUGGAAUUCCAUGUGUAGCGGUGAAAUGCGCAGAGAUAUGGAGGAACACCAGUGGCGAAGGCGACUUUCUGGUCUGUAACUGACGCUGAUGUGCGAAAGCGUGGGGAUCAAACAGGAUUAGAUACCCUGGUAGUCCACGCCGUAAACGAUGAGUGCUAAGUGUUAGGGGGUUUCCGCCCCUUAGUGCUGCAGCUAACGCAUUAAGCACUCCGCCUGGGGAGUACGACCGCAAGGUUGAAACUCAAAGGAAUUGACGGGGACCCGCACAAGCGGUGGAGCAUGUGGUUUAAUUCGAAGCAACGCGAAGAACCUUACCAAAUCUUGACAUCCUUUGACAACUCUAGAGAUAGAGCCUUCCCCUUCGGGGG
rnacentral:rRNA from 1 species